AUGAAAAACCUCUCCCUUGCAGCAUCACUCUCCUCGACUCGAUCUUUGGGCCGAAAAAAUACUGACGGUACUGAAAGCAUCGAAACGAUCGUUAGUACCUCAUCAAGGCACCCAAGUUGUUCGCCCAUCAAAAGCAUUUUGGCAAGUGGGGGAUCCAAUGGAAACUCAACCAUCUUCCACCCAAGUUCAGUCAAACCUCCUACAUUGUUAAGAGCCCCUAAUACCCACAACUGGUACAUGGAGUUGAGAAUGU
rnacentral:misc_RNA from 1 species